rnacentral:rRNA from 1 species
AUACGUAGGGGGCGAGCGUUGUCCGGAAUUACUGGGCGUAAAGGGCGUGUAGGCGGCGCUGUAAGUCUGGAGUGAAAGUCCUGUUUUCAAGAUGGGAAUUGCUUUGGAUACUGCAGAGCUUGAGUGCGGAAGAGGUAAGUGGAAUUCCCAGUGUAGCGGUGAAAUGCGUAGAGAUCGGGAGGAACACCAGUGGCGAAUGCGGGUAACUGGACUACAAGUGACGCUGAGGCGCGAAAGUGUGGGGAGCAAACAGGAUUAGAUACCCUGGUAGUCCACACUGUAAACGAUGAAUUCUAGGUGUAGGAGGUAUCGACCCCUUCUGUGCCGCAGUAAACACAGUAAGCAUUCCGCCUGGGGAGUACGGUCGCAAGAUUAAAACUCAAAUGAAUUGACGUGU